rnacentral:rRNA from 1 species
GACGAACGCUGGCGGCGUGCUUAACACAUGCAAGUCGAACGAAGAGCGAUGGAAGCUUGCUUCUAUCAAUCUUAGUGGCGAACGGGUGAGUAACGCGUAAUCAACCUGCCCUUCAGAGGGGGACAACAGUUGGAAACGACUGCUAAUACCGCAUACGAUCUAACCUCGGCAUCGAGGAUAGAUGAAAGGUGGCCUCUACAUGUAAGCUAUCACUGAAGGAGGGGAUUGCGUCUGAUUAGCUAGUUGGAGGGGUAACGGCCCACCAAGGCGAUGAUCAGUAGCCGGUAUGAGAGGAUGAACGGCCACAUUGGGACUGAGACACGGCCCAGACUCCUACGGGAGGCAGCAGUGGGGAAUCUUCCGCAAUGGACGAAAGUCUGACGGAGCAACGCCGCGUGAGUGAUGACGGCCUUCGGGUUGUAAAGCUCUGUUAAUCGGGACGAAAGGCCUUCUUGCGAAUAGUGAGAAGGAUUGACGGUACCGGAAUAGAAAGCCACGGCUAACUACGUG